rnacentral:tRNA from 1 species
GCCGGGGUGGCGGAAUUGGUAUACGCAGCGGUCUUGAAAACCGUGGCCUGUCGCAAGGAUUGCGGGUUCGAACCCCGCUCCCGGUA